GGCUGGUCUGAGAGUAAUGGUGUUUACAACCAGUUGAUCACAACCAAUUACAGAUUCCUUUGUUCCUUCUCCACUUCCACUAUUUCACUUGACUAGCCUUAA
rnacentral:Y_RNA from 1 species